rnacentral:rRNA from 1 species
AGCGAACGUUAGCGGCGGGCCUAACACAUGCAAGUCGAACGCGAAAGGGAUUCGUCCCCGGUAGCGUGGCGUCCGGGUGAGUAACACGUAGGAAACCUUCCCUAGAGAGUGGGAUAACGUUCCGAAAGGGACGCUAAUACCGCAUAAGCCCACGACCGCUUCGGCGGAUGAGGGAAAAGAUGGCCUCUGUAUACAAGCUAUCACUUUGGGAUGGUCCUGCGGCGCAUCAGCUAGUUGGUAGGGUAAUGGCCUACCAAGGCGAAGACGCGUAGCUGGUCUGAGAGGAUGAUCAGCCACACUGGCACUGAAACACGGGCCAGACUCCUACGGGAGGCAGCAGUGGGGAAUAUUGGACAAUGGGCGCAAGCCUGAUCCAGCCACGCCGCGUGAGUGAUGAAGGCCUUCGGGUUGUAAAGCUCUGUGGGGAGAGGCGAAAACAGUCAUCAAGAAACGGAUGAUUCUUGACGGUAUCUCCUUAGCAAGCACCGGCUAACUCUGUGCCAGCAGCCGCAGUAAGAC